UGUCAGAUCUAUUUAUCAAACCGGGAGCCGCCGUGUCUGACAGAUCAGAGUCCCGAGAGAUCACAUGCAAAGGAAGGAAGGGGGAAAGGCUUACAUCACCAAAACCUUUAGAGAAACAGUCACCUUCACAGCUGUACAUUCUGAGCCAAUGACUGCAUACUUUGGGAAGCACAAGGUAACAGAGGAAGACUAAUACCUUCAUUGCAUGCUGCACAGACUCAUCACUUACAGCUCUGGAAUGCAGACAAUAUUCGCCAUAGCAAUGCGGCAGAGCAGUGAGCCUGCAGUCUCCCAGGGAGAGCCUGGCAGUGGGCUGGACUGCAGCCAAGAGUCUGUGUCAACAAUCUUCACUCAUCCCACUGAUUCACGCAUUACUCAUUCUCUCCACCAGUGUUUUGGGGGAGCUCGGCUCAUGCGCUUUCUAGAACCCCCCAAGAACAUGGAUUGUGCAUAUCCCCUCCUGAUGCUAAUUUUCUUUUGGCCAACAAGCCCAUCUUGCCAACUGACCAGAGAUCAAAAAAGGGCAUGGUGUUAAAGAGGACCCAGGCUGGAGAGAAGCAAGCCUCUACACAGCUACGCCUCUGAAACACCCUAGAGGGCGCUGUUUUCCUGCUUGUUACCACCUUGGCCUUGCCUUUGCAAUGGGAAAAUGGAAAGAAAAGGAGAGAAGUAAAUACAUCAUAAACAAAACACAAACCGUCCAAGCCCAAGGGGAAUGAGGGUAUCAAGUCUAAGUGCCUCUUUGCCAGGUGAGGAUGCAGAAUGGUGAGGUGAGGAGCUUGUCCAAAGGUCACUCCAUCAUUCUUUAGUGGCAGAGACAAAGCUAGAGUCCAGACCUCAGACCCAGACUUUUUCUCCACAGCCUGCUCUUUCGCUGGACAAAACACCAUCUCAUCGAGUGGGAGGCCCAAACAAACACCUCUGGGCCUGCAUUCUCCCUUGAUUACUAGUUUGUGUUGCCAGGGGGUACAGUCGCUGACUGACAGCGUAAGGUAAGGGUAUAUUUAGAGGUGUCAAAUUCACAGAGAGUUUCAAUAAGCAAUUUUUGAAAACUC